AUUGAACGCUGGCGGCAUGCUUAACACAUGCCAGUCGAACGGUGACAUUAUUAAAAGCUUGCUUUUAAUAGAUGACGAGUGGCGGACGGGUGCGUAACGCGUAGGAAUCUGCCCUAAAGAGGGGGAUAACCUAGGGAAACUUAGGCUAAUACCGCAUAAUCUCUACGGAGCAAAGGACAUAGUUUACUAUAUUCACUUUAAGAUGAGCCUGCGUUGGAUUAGCUAGUUGUUAGGGUAAAGGCCUAACAAGGCAAAGAUCCAUAGCUGUUCUGAGAGGAAGAUCAGCCACACUGGGACUGAGACACGGCCCAGACUCCUACGGGAGGCAGCAGUGGGGAAUAUUGGACAAUGGGCGAAAGCCUGAUCCAGCAAUGCCGCGUGUGUGAAGAAGGCCUGAGGGUUGUAAAGCACUUUCAGUUGUGAGGAAGUUGCAGCAACAGUGAUUGAUAUUACCCCCAGAAGAAGCACCGGCUAACUCUGUGCCAGCAGCCGCGGUAAUACAGAGGGUGCAAGCGUUAAUCGGAAUAACUGGGCGUAAAGGGUGCGUAGGCGGAACGUUAAGCUAGAUGUGAAAGCCCCGGGCUCAACCUGGGAAUAGCAUUUAGAACUGGCAGGCUAGAGUCUUGGAGAGGGGAGUGGAAUUUCUGGUGUAGCGGUGAAAUGCGUAGAUAUCUGAAGGAACAUCAGUGGCGAAGGCGACUCCCUGGCCAAAGACUGACGCUCAUGUGCGAAAGUGUGGGUAGCGAACAGGAUUAGAUACCCUGGUAGUCCACACCGUAAACGAUGUCUACUAGCUGUUUGUGGAUUAAUCCGUGAGUAGCGCAGCUAACGCGAUAAGUAGACCGCCUGGGGAGUACGGCCGCAAGGUUAAAACUCAAAUGAAUUGACGGGGGCCCGCACAAGCGGUGGAGCAUGUGGUUUAAUUCGAUGCAACGCGAAGAACCUUACCUACUCUUGACAUACUAGAAACUUUUCAGAGAUGAAUUGGUGCCUUCGGGAAUCUAGAUACAGGUGCUGCAUGGCUGUCGUCAGCUCGUGUUGUGAAAUGUUGGGUUAAGUCCCGUAACGAGCGCAACCCCUAUCCUUAGUUACCAGCGGUUCGGCCGGGAACUCUAGGGAGACUGGUGACAAACCGGAGGAAGGUGGGGAUGACGUCAAGUCAUCAUGGCCCUUAUGGGCAGGGCUACACACGUGCUACAAUGGACGGUACAGAGGGUGGCCAAGCCGCGAGGUGGAGCUAAUCCCAGAAAACCGUUCGUAGUCCGGAUUGCAGUCUGCAACUCGACUGCAUGAAGUCGGAAUCGCUAGUAAUCGCGGAUCAGAAUGCCGCGGUGAAUACGUUCCCGGGCCUUGUACACACCGCCCGUCACACCAUGGGAGUGGGCUGUACCAGAAGUGGCUAGCUUAACCUUUCGGGAGAUCGCUUACCACGGUAUGGUUCAUGACUGGGGUG
rnacentral:rRNA from 1 species